GACGAACGCUGGCGGCGUGCUUAACACAUGCAAGUCGAACGGAAAGGCCCUGCUUUUGUGGGGUGCUCGAGUGGCGAACGGGUGAGUAACACGUGAGUAACCUGCCCUUGACUUUGGGAUAACUUCAGGAAACUGGGGCUAAUACCGGAUAGGAGCUCCUGCUGCAUGGUGGGGGUGGGAAAGUUUCGGCGGUUGGGGAUGGACUCGCGGCUUAUCGGCUUGUUGGUGGGGUAGUGGCUUACCAAGGCUUUGACGGGUAGCCGGCCUGAGAGGGUGACCGGCCACAUUGGGACUGAGAUACGGCCCAGACUCCUACGGGAGGCAGCAGUGGGGAAUAUUGCACAAUGGGCGGAAGCCUGAUGCAGCAACGCCGCGUGCGGGAUGACGGCCUUCGGGUUGUAAACCGCUUUCGCCUGUGACGAAGCGUGAGUGACGGUAAUGGGUAAAGAAGCACCGGCUAACUACGUG
rnacentral:rRNA from 1 species